rnacentral:rRNA from 1 species
UACGGAAGGCAGCAGUGGGGAAUAUUGCACAAUGGGCGAAAGCCUGAUGCAGCUAUGCCGCGUGUAUGAAGAAGGCCUUAGGGUUGUAAAGUACUUUCAUCGGGGAGGAAAAAACAAAACUAAUAAUUUUAUUUCUUGACGUUACCCGAAAAAGAAGCACCGGCUAACUCCGUGCCAGCAGCCGCGGUAAUACGGAGGGUGCUAGCGUUAAUCAGAAUUACUGGGCGUAAAGAGCACGUAGGUGGUUUUUUAAGUCAGAUGUGAAAUCCCUGGGCUUUAACCUAGGAACUGCAUUUUGAAACUGAAAUACUAGAGUAUCGUAGAGGGAGGUAGAAUUCUAGGUGUAGCGGUGAAAUGCGUAGAUAUCUGGAGGAAUACCUGUGGCGAAAGCGGCCUCCUAAACGAAUACUGACACUGAGGUGCGAAAGCGUGGGGAGCAAACAGGGAUUUAGAUACC